GACCUGGUCGGGUGGUCCGCCUAACGGUGUGUACUGCCUGACUGGGCCUUACCUCUUGGUGAGCCGGCGUGCCCUUUAUUGGUGUGAUGGGAAAUCAGGACUGUUACUUUGAAAAAAUUAGAGUGUUUAAAGCAGACUAUCGUCUGAAUACAUUAGCAUGGAAUAAUGAAAUAGGACGGACUGAUUCUAUUUCGUUGGUUUCUAGGAUCACCGUA
rnacentral:rRNA from 1 species